rnacentral:rRNA from 1 species
AUUGAACGCUGGCGGAAUGCUUUACACAUGCAAGUCGAACGGUAGAGGGGGCAACCCCUCGAGAGUGGCGAACGGGUGAGUAAUAUAUCGGAACGUGCCCAGUCGUGGGGGAUAACGUAGCGAAAGUUACGCUAAUACCGCAUACGAUCUAAGGAUGAAGGCGGGGGAUCGCAAGACCUCGCGCGAUUGGAGCGGCCGAUAUCAGAUUAGGUAGUUGGUGGGGUAAAGGCUCACCAAGCCAACGAUCUGUAGCUGGUCUGAGAGGACGACCAGCCACACUGGAACUGAGACACGGUCCAGACUCCUACGGGAGGCAGCAGUGGGGAGUUUUGGACAAUGGACGCAAGUCUGAUCCAGCCAUUCCGCGUGCAGGAUGAAGGCCCUCGGGUUGUAAACUGCUUUUGUACGGAACGAAAAGGUCUCUCUUAAUACGGGGGGCUCAUGACGGUACCGUAAGAAUAAGCACCGGCUAACUACGUGCCAGCCGCCGCAGUAA